GAGGGUAUAGCUCAGUGGUAGAGCACAUGCUUAGCAUGCACGAGGCCCUGGGUUCAAUCCCCAGUACCUCCA
rnacentral:tRNA from 1 species